rnacentral:lncRNA from 1 species
CAGAAGUUGUCUGAAGGGAGAAGAGCUGGAGCGAGGAGCAGCGGAUGUGGGGAGAGAGCGGAUGUGGCACAAGUGUGUUCACCCGAGCACAUCGCACCUUGAAAAGCGCUUGUCCCAUCAUGGGCAUGCCACAUAUUUGUUGGAUUGCAUUCUUACCCAAAUACUCUUCGUGAUUGCCUGCUUUGCGGCUUUGGGAUUCUCCAGGGAGUAGAGAACAUUCACACGGAUUGACAUCCCAAUUUUCUCAUCCUGUUGAAUCCGACUUUUUCAUUUACCGACAACUAACUCAAAAAUCUUAAAUUUGGUAUUUUGAAGUUUGUAUUUCCAAAUAUCCCAAAACUCUUCCUUUUCCUAUGGCCCCUCCCCAGCAUGUUCUGAAGUGG